CCUUUCUCUUCCCAGCUCUGGGGUGUCACCAAGCAAGGCUACCGCUGUCGGGGUGAGUGGGGUGUCAGUGAGUGGGAGGGAAGCCUUGGCCCGCAGGCUGGAAGAAUGGAUGACACAGAUCGGACCCCUGGCCAUUAACCGCUGCCUUCCCCCAGAGUGCGGGCUGUGUUGCCACAAACACUGCAGAGACCAGGUGAAGGUAGAAUGUAAGAAGAGGCCAGGGGCCAAGGGCGAUGCAGGACCCCCCGGAGCUCCUGUCCCAUCCACACCAGCUCCCCAUGCCAGCUGUGGCUCCGAGGAAAAUCACUCCUACACGCUAUCCCUGGAACCUGAGACUGGGUACCAGCUUCGCCAUGCCUGGACCCAGACUGAAUCCCCACACCCUUCCUGGGAAACAGAUACGGUCCCCUGCCCGGUGAUGGACCCACCAUCAACUGCAUCCUCCAAGCUGGAUUCCUAGACAUCUCUUGGUCUCCUCUCUUCCUCACUCCCUUCCCCCAGUCAGUCCUGAGUCCUGUCGUCAGACUCUGGCAGGGCUCCCAGAGGAGCAUCAACUCCAGGAGAACAGGGAUUUCUAUCAAUGUCAUUCACUGCUGCAUCCCCAGUGCCUAGAACAGGGCUGGCAGGUGGUAGGCGCCUGACAGAUGCUUGUCUGAUGCCUGAAUGUCUCCUUACCCAUGCCCACGGCGCAGGAUAGAUGUGCUAUAGGGCAAAGAACUUUGAGGGUCGAGCAGCAGGGGCCCAUUCAGUCCCAGGGAGCAGAGACCCCCCCCCCACCCCUUCACAAACCCCAACACCCCUGA
rnacentral:sRNA from 1 species